GAGUAAUUGAAACUAAAAUGUCAGGAGUCAAUAGUUUAAUCCAAAUCGUUUCUAGGAGGACCUAUAAAACAGGCCACAUUGCUCCUCUUCAUUGCAGGAAUUCUACGGCUGAAAAUUUACACCAUAUCCGUCACAGACUGUUGCAGGAGGUCAGCAGAGGAUGUGACCACAAGUGUACCGGUGAGCGGGACUUCCCACUCUAGAAGCUGCCCCACGGAGGAGCCUUGAGAGAGUGCUGUGUUGUUGAGACCAGCUGGAGGGUACAGGUGACUGAAAUCCAUUAAGGCUUCCAUAUAAACUUUUAAGAUUCUGGGGGGUGGGUGCAGAGAUCUACUCGUCUUGUCGCUGCCCAAGACAAGCCUUGUAUCUACAAAAUCCCCACCAAACACAACCUGGCUCCAAAAAUAAAUUUGUGAGAUGAAUGAAAUGAAAGGCAAGAUGCACAGCCAUGUGACCUUGAAUUCUGGAAGACCUUGAGUUCUGUGUUGAAUGAGACAAGUAGGUCCAACCUUUGCUGUAUUUUAGCGCCAUCUGGUGGCAGUUAUCUGACUUAGCUGAAAUAUCCGUGGGAAGAAUUUGGAGUCUUGUUAUUGACUAAGACUUCUAGCACCCUGGUAGUGCCUUCAGAAAUCUUCUGGUUCCUUGGUGCAGGAAAAGACUGGGACAGAGAAGUCCCCCCCUCUCUCCCUCUCCACAUGCCUUCUCUAUAUCCUGAGAUAAGUCACUUAUUUCCCUGUGUUUCUUGCCGUCUCCCCAGGAAGAUUAGAAUUUGUAUCUGCCCCCAUUGAGAAUGGGGACUAGGUGGAGGAUGGGGACCAAUCACAACUGAGCCAUUUCUCGAUUCGAGUUUUCAUGGGGUUUUGCUCUAUGUUCCCGGAAUUCAGAAACUAUGUGUUACACUGUGGUCACUCAUCAAGGAGGAAUUCUUUUGUGACUGUAUAGAAGAAACACAACUUAUUUUCUGCCGUAAAGGAUUAACAGUAUAGUGGGGAUCAACUCUGCAAACAGGUGAAUGUGAACCUACCAUUUGGUUUUGGAGAAUAAACCUGCCAUCUGCAGACUCACAGCAUAUUUGUUUGAAAUGAAAGAUGAUAUCUAAAAACAAUUACAAGUUUAGUCACACUCUGCUUUCAAGAUAGUUUUGAUUAAUUUCACUUUUUGCUUUGACCAGAUAGUUUGGCCUAACCUAAUUUUAAGUUGUGGCUAUAAAUUUGUGAAAAUGACUCCACAAGAAGAAAGCCAGUCUCAUGACUCACAGCCUACUCCACGGACAGAAAACGGAUCUGAAUGUGCAGACAAAUCAUUCUUUUUAUUUUUAAUUGAAGUCACAUUGGUUUAUGACAUUGUUUAAAUUUCAGGU
rnacentral:lncRNA from 1 species